AAAAAGAAAGCUAUCUUCCAAAUAGAGAUUCCCCACCUUUAGAAAUUAAUUUUGUUAAAGUACGAUAAAAUUUAUAAGAGCUAUUAGAUGUAUCUAAAUUCAGUUAUGUUUCAAGUAGGAACUUUAUUUGGAAACCUAGGGCAAUCUCUAGAUAACCACCUAUCAUUCUUUGUUUAUAUGUGAAGAUUAAGAAAGAUGUGUGAUAAAUACGCAGCCCAUGAUAGCAAAUUUUGUGUAGGUUGUGUACUUUAAAAAAUUAGAAAAUGUCUAAUUUUUAGGAGAAAAUUUGUCAAAUUUUCGGAAAAUUUGUCAAAUUUUCGAAAAAUUUGUAAGUAAUUAAAUAUACGAUCGAUAUGUUAUGACUUGAUUAAUUGGAUUAAUAUGUAACAAGAUUGUGGUUAAUUAAUACCAAUGAUGGAACUUUGAUUUGU
rnacentral:misc_RNA from 1 species